AUAGUUACUUGGCAGAGAAGAUAUCAGAACCCCAAAGUGGUUUUCCCAGGGCGAGGCUCACCCAUUGCAUUCUGGGUGUGUUGAGUCUUGUGAUUUCCCCAAAUGUGAAAAGCUCACUGCAUAAUUUGUGGUAGUGGCAGACUGUGUUUGUGCUCUCCCC